CUUGCGACCAGUGUUUUAAACGAAUGCUACGAACGUGAUCAAGAACAUGCAAUACUGAUUGUUGAACGCAAAUCACCUGUCUGGAAUGGGUUGUCUGCUCUGCAGAUUGCAUCUGUGUCAGACGAUCAGAUGUUCAUUGCCUCUGGAGCGUGCCAAAGUUCCAUCGAGUCCACCUGGAAACAAGGCAUCUUGAGCAGCUGGGAAAAGGUAUUCAUGGCGAUGAUCUGCCCCAUACUUAUAGUGUGUAAAAUGGAGUUCGUGAAUGUUGGACAGAAACCACUCACCUGGUAUCAGCGUCUUG